AUUGAACGCUGGCGGCAUGCUUUACACAUGCAAGUCGAACGGAGGUUGGGAGCUUGCUCCUGACUUUAGUGGCGAACGGGUGAGUAAUACAUCGGAGCGUACCGCGGAGUGGGGGAUAACGAGUCGAAAGAUUCGCUAAUACCGCAUAUUCUCUGAGGAGGAAAGCAGGGGAUCGAAAGACCUUGUGCUCCGCGAGCGGCCGAUGGCUGAUUAGCUAGUUGGUGAGGUAAAGGCUCACCAAGGCGACGAUCAGUAGCGGGUCUUAGUGGACGAUCCGCCACACUGGGACUGAGACACGGCCCAGACUCCUACGGGAGGCAGCAGUGGGGAAUCUUGGACAAUGGGCGCAAGCCUGAUCCAGCAAUGCCGCGUGCGUGAAGAAGGCCUUCGGGUUGUAAAGCGCUUUUGUCUGGGAGCAAAUCCUUGUGGCUAAUACCCACCGGGGAUGAGAGUACCAGAAGAAUAAGGACCGGCUAACUACGUGCCAGCAGCCGCAGUAACAC
rnacentral:rRNA from 1 species